UGUGUGUGUGUGUGUGUGUAUGUAUGUGUAUAUAUAUAUAUGUAUAUAUAUAUAUACACACACACACACACACACA